ensembl:lncRNA
AACAUAUUGGUCGCAAGCUACAAGAAACUCAAUUAUCUUGUGGAGUGCUGGAAACGUCAAUGAAAUCUUGCUCAGCAGCCAUGGUUGGUGUGUUUCUUCUUGCGUAUAUCUCCGUGAAUUUAUUCCUUAAAUGUCAAGGUCAAAAGAUUAAUCAAGCUAAGAUUUUCAGUGAAAAUGCAGAAGUAUCAGAAGGUGGUAGACUGGAAGUUACUUGCAGCACAUUUGGUUUUACAGGAAAGGCAGUUUAUUUAUAUCUGUGUAAAAAUGGUAAAGCUAUUGAUAUGAAAAACAGACCCACUCAACAAGAUGUUGGCUUUAAAAUAGAGAAAAUAGAAAUGAACCAUGCAGGCAACUACAGCUGUGUGUUUUCAGAAGAGCAGUUGCAAAUAAACAAAGUGAUGGGAUAUGGUUAUAAUUACAUCUUCAUAAACGUGACUGAAUCUUUUAUUUACACACAGAUAUAUUUGCUUAAGUCUGAGGUGCCAGUGGGAAGUAAUGUUGAAUUCAACUGCAAAACAUUCAAUCCUUUACACAAAAAACAGUCCAGGAACAUGAUCUUGGUUUAUCUAAUCAAAAAUGGGAAGCCUAUUAAAGUUAAUAUUUGGGACACAGAGAAGAUGAUGACCACAUUCACCCUCAGAGAAGUCCAGUUGGAAGAUGCUGGGACAUACAGUUGUGUUAUAUUGUUAAACAUACUCCCUUACCAUGGAAUGAGACUUCGUCAAAAUAUUAAAGCUGAUCUUCAAAUAAUUGCGACAUCUAACAGCAGCAUUGACAAGGUCAUAACUGUCAUAAUGAGAUCCAUAGUCAUAAUGUGUACCAUAGUUUUACUUCUCAGUCUGUUUCUGGGAAUCUGGGCACUGAUCCGAAAACAAGGUUGCCUUGGAAUCCAAAAAAAUGAAAGGUUGGUUUAA